rnacentral:ncRNA from 1 species
UUGAUAGAGGCGCGGAGUUUCAAGAGUAACACAGCAUUUUGCCGGCAGGCGGCUGUGCGAAAGGGAAAUCCGCCGAAAUCGCGGGAAACGGCUGCCGCCGCCCUGCGGUUGGGCUGUUGCAAAAGAUGUAACAGACUGUCACGAAUGUGGAGCGCUAUCGUU